rnacentral:rRNA from 1 species
GAAUAUUGGACAAUGGGCGCAAGCCUGAUCCAGCCAUGCCGCGUGAGUGAUGAAGGCCUUAGGGUUGUAAAGCUCUUUUAUCCGGGACGAUAAUGACGGUACCGGAAGAAUAAGCCCCGGCUAACUUCGUGCCAGCAGCCGCGGUAAUACGAAGGGGGCUAGCGUCGCUCGGAAUCACUGGGCGUAAAGGGCGCGUAGGCGGACAUUUAAGUCGGGGGUGAAAGCCCGGGGCUCAACCCCGGAAUUGCCUCCGAUACUGGAUGUCUCGAGACCGGAAGAGGUAAGUGGAACUGCGAGUGUAGAGGUGAAAUUCGUAGAUAUUCGCAAGAACACCAGUGGCGAAGGCGGCUUACUGGUCCGGUUCUGACGCUGAGGCGCGAAAGCGUGGGGAGCAAACAGG